rnacentral:rRNA from 1 species
AGCGAACGCUGGCGGCAGGCCUAACACAUGCAAGUCGAACGAACUCUUCGGAGUUAGUGGCGGACGGGUGAGUAACACGUGGGAACGUGCCUUUAGGUCCGGAAUAACUCAGGGAAACUUGUGCUAAUACCGAAUGUGCCCUUCGGGGGAAAGAUUUAUCGCCUUUAGAGCGGCCCGCGUCUGAUUAGCUAGUUGGUGAGGUCAAGGCUCACCAAGGCGACGAUCAGUAGCUGGUCGGAGAGGAUGAUCAGCCACAUUGGGACUGAGACACGGCCCAAACUCCUACGGGAGGCAGCAGUGGGGAAUCUUGCGCAAUGGGCGAAAGCCUGACGCAGCCAUGCCGCGUGAAUGAUGAAGGUCUUAGGAUUGUAAAAUUCUUUCACCGGGGACGAUAAUGACGGUACCCGGAGAAGAAGCCCCGGCUAACUUCGUGCCAGCCGCCGCCGUAA